CGAUUGCUCAAUCGUAGCCUCGUAGGAUCCUCCCGUCCUUCAACAAUGUGGUUAAAACAAAGCAGGCAAUGUUCUAAAUGUUUGAAAUAGCCCAGGACUAUCCUGAAGAGGGUUCAACAACAUAAAACAUCAUAUAUAUCAAAUAUGACAACACUUAAGAUGAAGAAUUUAGCCCUAACUGUUGAUGUGGAGUUGGUGCUAAUUUGCUGCCAUUCCCUUUCGUGAUGUUUUCAAUGUCAGUAAUGCACAUUAAUAGCUGGACGCUGACAAAUUGUCACUCACACCUGAGAACAGGCUGGUGAAUUCUGAGCUUCUUUGUGUCAGUCCAAUGUGCUAUGUGCAGAUGGGUUUGUUGCAGCCAGCCGGUGAUAGGUGCAUUUCUUGCUACCUGUACCAGCUGUAUGUUUCAUAUCGUAAAAAACACUGAACAGAAUGAACUGAACUUCAGAAGAAUGAAGGAUUAACAGCCUGGUGAAGUAUGAGCUUCUUUGUUGCUGCCCAAUGUUCACAUGGAUUUGACAUAAAGCGGCAGUCUGGGAAAGUCUGAGCUUCGUCGUUGCUGCCAAUGUACACAUGGAUUUAAUGCAGCCAGGUGUUCCUCUUGCUACCUGUACUGCUGUGUGUUUCGUCAAAUGAAGAAACAUGAACAACUGAAGUUUAUCGUGUUUGUUCGCGUUGUUGCUGUCCGCUGUGGUACGUUGUUUCAGCCUCUGCUGGUGAUAGAUCUUUCUGCAUCAAAUUCAGUUAGCCGUUCCUUGGUGCUGGACUGCUGGUGUCGUGGUACCGAAAUCGCAUCAUUAUUUUGUUAAAUUGUCAUCGUGACUGCAGUUUACCGUUAAUAAGUUAAGAAGCAACAAAAACAAAUAUGGGAUGUUUAUGUCAACAAAUAAUAAACAUGUUUUCGGGAUUGGGAAAGGAAAGUGGAGAAUGUUGGAGAGGGGGAGGAUAUUUCAAGUUUGGAUAAAAAAUCAGUUAAUCUAUAACCCUACAAAUGUUGCCCUACCAAUUAAUCUCCAAACCCCACAAACAUAUACCUUCCAAUCCUUCAAACCCCGAAAACAUACACCACUAACCCUUAAAUUUAUACCCUUAACCCUAUAAACCAAUGUUAAACCUUAACCAUGUAAUAUCUGUAAUAAAUAAAAAUAAAUAUAUUAUAUGAA